rnacentral:rRNA from 1 species
GACGGAGGAUGCAAGUGUUAUCCGGAAUCACUGGGCGUAAAGCGUCUGCAGGUGGUUUCCUAAGUCCACUGUUAAACCUUGAGGCUCAACCUCAAAUCUGCAUUGGAAACUAGGAGACUUGAGUAUAGUAGGGGUAGAGGGAAUUUCCAGUGGAGCGGUGAAAUGCGUAGAUAUUGGAAAGAACACCGAUGGCGAAGGCACUCUACUGGGCUAUUACUGACACUCAGAGACGAAAGCUAGGGGAGCAAAUGGG